CACGUAGGGGGGCGAGCGUUGUCCGGAUUUAUUGGGCGUAAAGAGCUCGUAGGUGGCUCGGUAAGUCGGGUGUGAAAAUUUCGAGGCUCAACCUCGAGACGCCACCUGAUACUGCUGUGGCUAGAGUCCGGUAGGGGGAGCGUGGAAUUCCUGGUGUAGCGGUGAAAAUGCGCAGAUAUCAGGAGGAACACCAGCGGCGAAGGCGGCGCUCUGGGGCCGGUACUGACACUGAGGAGCGAAAGCGUGGGGGAUCAAAACAGG
rnacentral:rRNA from 1 species